GACGAACGCUGGCGGCGUGCUUAACACAUGCAAGUCGAACGGAAAGGCCCUGCUUUUGUGGGGUGCUCGAGUGGCGAACGGGUGAGUAACACGUGAGUAACCUGCCCUUGACUUUGGGAUAACUUCAGGAAACUGGGGCUAAUACCGGAUAGGAGCUCCUGCUGCAUGGUGGGGGUUGGAAAGUUUCGGCGGUUGGGGCUGGACUCGCGGCUUAUCAGCUUGUUGGUGGGGUAGUGGUUUACGAAGGCUUUGACGGGUAGCCGGCCUGAGAGGGGGACCGGGGACAUUGGGACUGAGAUACGGCCCAGACUCGUACGGGAGGCAGCAGGGGGGAAUCUUGCACAAUGGGCGGAAGCCUGAUGCAGCAGCGCCGCGUGCGGGAUGACGGCCUACGGGUUGUAAACCGCUUUCGCCUGUGACGAAGCGUGAGUGACGGUAAUGGGUAAAGAAGCACCGGCUAACUACGUG
rnacentral:rRNA from 1 species